rnacentral:rRNA from 1 species
UACGAAGGGAGCUAGCGUUGUUCGGAAUCACUGGGCGUAAAGCGCACGUAGGCGGAUGUGUCAGUCAGGGGUGAAAUCCCGGGGCUCAACCUCGGAACUGCCUUUGAUACAGCACAUCUUGAGUCCGGAAGAGGUGGGUGGAAUUCCUAGUGUAGAGGUGAAAUUCGUAGAUAUUAGGAAGAACACCGGUGGCGAAGGCGGCCCACUGGUCCGGUACUGACGCUGGGGUGCGAAAGCAUGGGGAGCGAACAGG